ACACCGGGCGAAACAGGCACCCACCCAUCGCUGGAUCCACCAGGCUCCUCGCUCAUCGCGUAACCUAAACGCACCCCCCCCCCCCGCCCCCGCCUGCACACCAAGGAGUUAAUUGCUUCAACCCUGAGAUCUUUCUCGAACCUUCCAGCUCUGUUGGGGGCUGGCCAAAUGCAAGCUCGCUCCCAGAGGCAAACCGUAGCUCCUUAGCGACCAAUGCCAGGGUGACUGGCGAUGGAGAGCCGUUGGGGGCCUCAGGUGCUGGAAGAGGAGUAUUUACUGUCGGCCUUCACACACCUUAUGUCUGGAAAAGCUGCGUCGGAGCACCAGGGGGAUGAAGGGGGGGUAUCUGCUAGCCCCCCUUAUUAGUGGCUUCUAAAUGCCACUCACCACGAGAAGAUUCAGGGCUCUUUGAAGAAAUCGCUUUUUCUAGGGCUGAGCCAGGAAAGUACAAGAUGAGCUUGGAACAUCUUGUGCCAGAAAGUAAGGGAGUGCUCAGAGGAUGCUGGGGACAUAUCAGAAUGAUACGAGAGGCAGCCCAGAGAGGGUCUCACUAGGUCAAAUCUGGACAAUUGAAGCACCAAAAUAAAUAAUAUUAAGAUUUCUAGUUCCCACCAAGUUGGAGUAGCCCCAUUCCUCCCAAACCCUCCUGCUUGCAACUAAAGAUUCCUGUAGCACAACAAACAGGAAGUUCUGAAAGGUGGAAAGAAAACAAACUUCUUAAGGACCCCCAGGAUUUGAGAAAUAACAGGGCAGUGAAUUUCCUCAGCUGCCUCACUGCCACCUGUAAGCCCUGGAUGGGGGCCCAUCCAGAACCGCCCACAGGAGCGGAAGAAAAAUAAAAAAUAAAAAGCCACGGGGAAAGUCUGCUCCCCUUGGCCAAAGGUGCCACAAUACAGGUGGACUAACAACAGGAAACUUUUUAGGUAAUACCAGCCCCGCAGCAGCCGGGUACCAAUGGAAAAUUCACCCCCACUCACUUGAACAGAUUACACCAGGCAGCGAGAGAGGGGAUCUAAUCCGGAAUUGCACAUUCUCCUCACGUCUCGGGUCAGCAGGGCCCAGCAAGCAGCAAAAAAAAAAGUGGAAAAAUCGACUUAUGUGAAGAAGGCACGGAUCACUUUUCCAGAAACAAAUUUUAUCUUGAUUUCAAGGAGGAAAAACCUGUCUGUGAUGACUUUCUGUCAUUCAAGUAUAUUUUGAAUUAAAGGGUCAUUUGUGUGUUUAUUCCACAAAUAUUGAGAGAUUACUUUUAUGUGCCAGGCAUUUUUCAUUCCAUAAACUUCCUCCCCACCCCCACCCCCAAUAGGUUUUCCUGCCUAAUCUAGAUCACAAGCCCUUCUCAUUAGGAAACUAGCAUGGUUACUAUUUUCAUUCCGUCUGGUAGAUCUUUGUCUCCCCAACCCCAGCUGUCACUUGGCUAAGGCCCCUUCUUUCCUUAGUUCUUCAAGUAUUUUUCAUGGAGAACUUCUCGUCCCCCCACCACAACUGGCUUCUGCCUGUGGGGCAGUCCCAUCCUCAGGACCCCUGGAUGGGCGCCUUCAUCAGACUCUUCCAGACACCAGGUUUUCCGCUUAACUGUGGGGACCAGGAAGGAAGGCCAGGAAACCCCUGAGCCAAAUCUGCUGACAUGGAAGUCCCCUGUAUGCAGAAGUGGACUGUACUUAAAGAUUAAGUAGGUUUGUAAACAUUCUCUAGUUUCAAGCCAGGGUAUUUCCUCUUUCCCAUCAUAUUUUAUUUUACAUUUUUAAAUGUUUAUUUCGAAAUGAUUUUAUUUGUUUACUUUUAAAUGUUUUAUUUAUUUUUGAGACAGACAGACAGAGUGCGAGCAGGGGAGGGGCAGAGAGGGAGACAGAGGAUCUGAAUGAAUCAGGCUCUCCACUGAGAGCUGAGAGCCCGAUGCAGGGCUCCAACUCACGAUGAAAUCAUGACCUGAGCCGAAGUCGGAAGCUUAAUCGACUGAGCCACCCAGGUGCCCCUACUCGGAAAUGAUUUUAAAUUUACAGAAAACUUGCAAGAAUAGUACAUAGACACUUUUAUGAUGAAUAGGAUAUUUUGUAGACUCAAACCCCUCCCAACCAGUUAAUAUUCGUUGAUUACUCUUGCCUAAAUUAAGAAUGAUUGAAAGCGGAGAUUUUCUUUUUUAAAAUGUUUAUUUAUUUAUUUUGGGGAGAGAGAGCGUGAGAGAGCACACAAAUAGGGGAGGGGCAGAGAGAGAGGGAUACAGAGAAUCUGAAGCGGGUUGUAGGCUCUGAGCUGUCAGCACAGAGCCUGACUCGGGGCUUGAACCCACAAGCUGUGAGAUCAUGACCUGAGCCGAAGUUGAAUGCUUAACCAACUGAGCCACCCAGGCGCCCCUGAAAGUGGUGAUUUUCUAACUCUUAUCAAUUUUUUUUCUACAUUUACUAAUUGUAUUCUACUGUAAGGCACCUGGUAUAGAUUAAAAAGUUUGCAUCCUUCCAAAAUUCCUGUGUUGAAAAUCUAAUAACCAAGGUGACAGUGUUAGAAGGUGGGGCCUUUGGGAAGGGAUUAGGUCAUGAUGGUGGAGCCCUCAUGAAUGGGAUACAAGCGACCCAGAUAGCUCCCUCUCCCCUUCUACCAAGUGAAGACAGUGAUAAGUUGGUAGUUUGCAUCCUGGAAGAAGGCCUUCACCAGAACCGCACCAUACAGGCACCCUGAUCUUAGACUUCCUGCCUCUAGAAGUGUGAGAAAUAAAUUUCUGUUGUUUCUAAGCCA
rnacentral:lncRNA from 1 species